rnacentral:tRNA from 1 species
GGGCCAAUGGUCUAGAGGUAAGAUACUUGCUUUGGGUCAUCUGAUCGCAAUUGCAAGGGAUCCUGGGUUCGAAUCCCAGUUGGCCCC